UACGUAGGGUGCGAGCGUUAAUCGGAAUUACUGGGCGUAAAGCGUGCGUAGGCGGUUCGUUAAGUCAGCUGUGAAAGCCCCGGGCUCAACCUGGGAAUUGCGGUUGAAACUGGCGAACUAGAAUCUGGCAGAGGGGGUGGAAUUCCACGUGUAGCAGUGAAAUGCGUUGAUAUGUGUCGGAACACCAAUGGCGAAGGCAGCUCUCUGGACGGGUACUGACGCUCAUUUGCGAAAGCCGAGGUAGCGAACAGG
rnacentral:rRNA from 1 species